GAUGAACGCUGGCGGCGUGCCUAAUACAUGCAAGUCGAGCGAACAGACGAGGAGCUUGCUCCUCUGACGUUAGCGGCGGACGGGUGAGUAACACGUGGAUAACCUACCUAUAAGACUGGGAUAACUUCGGGAAACCGGAGCUAAUACCGGAUAAUAUAUUGAACCGCAUGGUUCAAUAGUGAAAGACGGUUUUGCUGUCACUUAUAGAUGGAUCCGCGCCGCAUUAGCUAGUUGGUAAGGUAACGGCUUACCAAGGCAACGAUGCGUAGCCGACCUGAGAGGGUGAUCGGCCACACUGGAACUGGGACACGGUCCAGGCUCCUACGGGAGGCAGCAGUAGGGAAUCUUCCGCAGUGGGCGAAAGCCUGACGGAGCAACGCCGCGUGAGUGAUGAAGGUCUUCGGAUCGUAAAACUCUGUUAUUAGGGAAGAACAAAUGUGUAAGUAACUAUGCACGUCUUGACGGUACCUAAUCAGAAAGCCACGGCUAACUACGUG
rnacentral:rRNA from 1 species